AUACCUUUCUCGGCCUUUUGGCUAAGAUCAAGUGUAGUAUCUGUUCUUAUCAGUUUAAUAUCUGAUACGUGGGCCAUCGGCCCACUAUGAUAUUAAAUUAAUUUCUUGUUUUGGGGAGGGUCCAUCUACACUAGCUUGCUAGUGGGGCCCUCAAGCGUCGCCUCUGCGUUGCACUACUGCAAAGGCUUGGCGCACCCCAC